UACGUAGGGGGCUAGCGUUGUCCGGAAUCAUUGGGCGUAAAGCGCGUGUAGGCGGCUCGAUAAGUCCGCUCUGAAAGCCCGGGGCUCAACCCCGGGAGGCGGGUGGAUACUGUCGAGCUCGAGUCCGGAAGAGGCAAGUGGAAUUCCCGGUGUAGCGGUGAAAUGCGCAGAUAUCGGGAGGAACACCAAUUGCGAAGGCAGCUCGCUGGGACGUAACUGACGCUGAGACGCGAAAGCGUGGGGAGCAAACAGG
rnacentral:rRNA from 1 species